CUCUUACACAUUGAGUGUGGUUUCUGCAGUGAUGGGGAAGUUCUGUCAACCCUGGCCUGCUUUGGGACACCAGUGGACCUCCCCAGAGCUGGUGGUGAAAAUUCCUGGAGGAUGCCAAGACAGGAGGAUUGCUUGAUGCCAAGACAGGAGGAUUGCUUGAGGCCAAGUAUUCAAGACCAGCCUGGGCAACACAGACAUUGCAACAUCCCUGUCUUUACCAAAAAGGAAAAAAUUAGCCAGCCAUGGUGGCAUGCACCUAUGGGCCUAGUUACUCAAGAGGCUGACGUGGGAAGAUAGCUUGAGCCCAGGAGUUCAAGGUUACAGUGUCCAGCCUGGGUGACAGAAUAAGACCACGUCUCAAAAAACAAAGAAACAAACAAACCAGCCUGGGACCUCCUCCCUGCUUUGCUUCCUCUUCAGCAUGUGUGAUCUCUUUGCACAUGCCGAUUCCCCUUUCACAUUCCACCUUGAGCUGAAGCAGCCUGAGACCCUCACCAGAGGCCCAAUCUUGAACUUUCCAGCCACCAGAAUUGCAAGCUAAAUAAACCUCUUUUCUUCAUAAGAUAGAUCCUCCGAAUGAGGAACAAUGUAUUCUUCUUUUCUCCUAAUUCUCCUAAAAAAUCCACUUGGGAGAUACCUGCUGCAAAACUUAAAGGCAACCAUAUUCUGUACUUAGAUGAAGUGUUUGUCAAGCUCCCUGGAAAAGAGAAUCAAAGGACCCUGACUUGUUUACUCUGCCUUCUGGAAGAAAAAAGUGAUGAGAGAGAGUGGCAAUCUCACACCAUGCUGAAAAGCGCCCCCCAACUAACUCAGAUCCAUGCGUCCCUUUGGGCCCUGAGGAAUAAUACUGCUGGUUUAAUUCAAGAUAUAAAACCAAUAAAAAUGGUUUACCUA
rnacentral:lncRNA from 1 species